CAGAGGCGCGGUUUUCAUUAGUAUCCGUAGGGUCUGUAAAGUCUGCCAGGGCGGUUGCCCACGGAGAAAGGGACAACCGCCGAAGGCGAUGCACGGCACGCAUCGUUCCUGGGCCCGCGGCCGAAAAGGCUCGGGACUGUCAUACCGUCUGUACGGUAUGUUGCGCUGUGU
rnacentral:ncRNA from 1 species